rnacentral:rRNA from 1 species
GACGAACGCUGGCGGCGUGCUUAACACAUGCAAGUCGAACGGUGAAGCGCCUUCCUUUUUGGUGGGUGUGGAUGAGUGGCGAACGGGUGAGUAACACGUGAGUAACCUGCCCCCUUCUUCUGGAUAACCGCAUGAAAGUGUGGCUAAUACGGGAUAUUCUGGGUCUGUCGCAUGAUGGGUCUGGGAAAGAUAUUGUUUCGGUGGGGGAUGGGCUCGCGGCCUAUCAGCUUGUUGGUGGGGUGAUGGCCUACCAAGGCGGUGACGGGUAGCCGGCCUGGGAGGGUGGACGGCAACAGUGGGACUGAGCCACGGACCAGACUCCUACGGGAGGCAGCAGUGGGGAAUAUUGCACAAUGGGAGCAAGGCUGAUGCAGCGACGCCGCGGGAGGGAUGGAGGCCUUCGGGUUGUGAACCUCUUUCGCCAGUGAAGCAGGCCUGCCUCGUUUGUGGGUGGGUUGACGGUAGCUGGAUAAGAAGCGCCGGCUAACUACGUG